CCAGUAAAGCAAAAUUUUGUAUCCUAGUUCUGGGUGAUUUGUAGGCAAUAUGAACUCCUCCGAUUCUUCAAGAAAAUAUAUGGGCUCCUCUAGUUCUUCAAGGAAUAAAUUGACAAAUUCGCAGAAGGAAUUGUCUUCCGAGCAGAUGUAUACCUUUGAUGUCGACCAAAGAAAUAGCCACAAGGAGUAUCCAGAUGCAACAACAUUGCAAUUUGAAUCUUUUUUGAGCCUUAUUAAUAGUAAAGAUGUAAAUGUGAAUAUUGGAGAAGAGAUUGAUAAUGUUGAGGAUACUAUAGAUGAGGAAGAUUUUCAUGAUUCAGAAUAUAACCUUUCUGACAAAGAUGAUGACUUUCAGGAGGUUAUAGUUGUAAACAAAAAGGUGAAAGGGAGGGGACAACCAAAAAUUGCAACAGGCUCUAUCGAUGUACCAUCUAGUUCUGCGAUUAUAGUACUACCACUGGUUGUUGAUGUUGAAUCUGAUUACGUAGAUUCGGAUGAAUUGUUGGAGGUUGGUUCUGAAAAAGAAGAAGAUAAGCUUCAGGAAAAAGUUGCCUAUGUAGAGUAUAAUGAAGAGAAACACAAAGACCAGCCAAUAUUAGAACUAGGGAUGACGUUUGGAAGUUUUGAAGAAUUUAAACAAGCUUGUAUGGAGUGGGGUAUUAAAAAUAGACGACAUUAAAGUUUUAUCCCAAUGAUAUGGAGAGAAUGGUAUAUAUUUGCAAGCGAGAUGACUGUUCAUUUACGAUUUAUGCUAGUAAGUUAAGUCAAGAUGAUCCUACUGUGCAGAUUAAAUCUAUCAAUUUGACUCAUAAGGGCGGCAUGGUGUUUGACAAUCCCCACAUGACACCAAAAUAUAUUGCUAGAAGGUAUUUUGAAAUUUUUAAUGCUGAUCCAAAUUGGAGUAUAAAUGGAAUCAUAGAUACUGUUAGAAAGGAAUUAAAUUAUACAAUAUCAUAUAUGAAGGCAUGGAGAGCCAAAGAUCAAGCACUAAAAUGGGUGGUUGGAGAUGAGAGCCUUCAGUAUGGUAAGCUAUUAUCAUAUAGAGUAGACUUCUAAUCCUGGAUCUACUGUUGUGGUAUGGAGAGUUGAAGAAAAGUUUUAGGAAUUUUAUGUGUGUCAGGUGUCACGAUCCCAAUCCGCUGUGAAUGACACCCACAAUACUUAUUCCAUUGGGAGAACCAUUUCUAUGGCUAGCUUAUCAAACUCUAGGAGAUAAUAGUUAAAAAACUUGCGGAAGCAGGAAUAAACCAGAAAUAAUGCUGAGUUCCCAUAAACUCAGCCAACCUGGUUAAUAUCAAUGAAGUACGGAAGUAAACACAUCCUAGAAACUGAAAGUCAUCGUAUCAAAACUCUAACUAACAAGUCUAAAACAGGAGUACAACUCCAAAUAGAAAUAAAUAAAUAAACAGAAACAUUGUCCGAACAUUUGAGUCCUGAAAGAAGGACUGAGAUUGAUAGAAAGUCCACGACAGCAUGACAAAAUAGCUCACCGUUGGACUUUGAACAACUUGCUAAUCUUCCAACCUAGGCCUCUUUGCAACCGGCUGAAUAUGCCUUGUACUCAACAAAAAGGCAGAGCAAGAGUAGUAUCAGUACACAAAACAAUGAUGUACUGGUAGGAUCACGUGGUUAGCCAGUAAACGGAUCAUAGACAAGUAAAUUUGAACACAAUAGGCAUAUACAUAUACAGAACAAGUCAACCACAUCUCAAUAUCACAGCUCAUGUCUUUCACAUGCUAUAAUUUCACACAAGGGUCCUCUAAAGGGACCUAUAAACAAUCAACUUUGUGUCGGAACGUAACACCCGAUCCAAAUACAUGUCGGAACGUGACACCUGAUUCAAAUUAUGUAUGGAACGUGACACCCAAUCCCAAGAUAUCACAAUCACAAUAACAUUCAAUGUUUACAACAUUUAUACCACCAAGAACAUGUUCAUCACAAUAACAUGCCAGCAAGCGAUCAUUUCACACAUAAUCUAGCAUGUUUCCCUAUUCAUAUACACACAUGCAUAUCACGAAGCAAUUUAACCAGUAUAUGAAAUACAUACAGGAAACUAGACCGUCACCUAUCUCAAAUUCAAGCUUUUAGAACCUUACAACGCAAUAGCCUUCCCUUUUCGGGUUCGUUCUUCUCGUUUUUGGUCUAGAACAUUAAAUACAUAUCAAGGAUCAAUAUAAUGACAUAACUAUCAAGAAAUAUAACACAAUUUCAUUCCCUCGGCAAAAACCCAUGAUCCUAACCUUACUCUAGGGCUAUUUUCUACCUUAGAUUUUUAGUCCAAACCCUUCCCAAUGAUUAUCACCCAUAUUUCUAGUUACUAAGAAUCAAAGUAUGAAUCUAGGGAAUAAAAACCUUACCUUAAGCAUGAAAAUCCGUGGAAAAUCAAUUGAAAUCGCCCUAGGUCGCCUCUUGGAGUUUUAGAAACUGAAUGUUGCAGAAAAGACCGUUUCUGGUCUUUUUCACGACUUAAUCGCGACUGUCCCGCUUUGGCGGGAAUAAUCCCGUUUUGGCGGGAUAUGCGGGAACAGUGAGUUCGGAGUUUGUGCUCCAAGCUCCCCUUUCACAACACACCCCCUUUCAAAGACGUAUUAAAAUAUAUCCCCACGCAAACUUCGACUCCGAGAGUUUUAUUCGCCCGAAUGCGAUUCCGCGAAGCCGUAAAUGCUCCGUAUCGCCUUGGCUAUCAGCCUGUCCAAUAAAAUUAUAAAUUUUAUCUCCCAUCAUUCACGUGAUCACCCUAGAGUUCACCUGACUCAGAAUUCGUCAAAGUUUGACCUAGGCUCAAAUUUGCCGAAGCUACUACCCGAAGUUUUCUGACCCGAAAUCCUUCCCCAUUGGCCUAUCCCUAACGCCGAAAGUAGGUCGUUACAUUAGGUGCGCUGAAAGAAGCAUUUAAAUCAGGGUAUAGGUCCUUCAUUAGCCUAGAUGGAUGCUGGCUAAAAGGAAACUUUGGAGGAAAUUUAUUGUCGGCAGUAUCUAUAGACCCCAAUGAUUGUAUUUUUCCUGUUGCAUAUGCUAUCAUAGCUCAAAAUGAAAGUAAAGAAACUUGGAGUUGGUUCUUGGAGAUACUUGGAGAGGAUCUAGAAAUAAGAAACAGUCAUCACAUAACAUUUUUGUCAGAUGGACAAAAGGGCUUAAUUGGAGCAGUUAAGGACUUGUUUCCCUUUGCUGAACACAGAAGUUGUGUUAGACAUAUGUACCAAAACUUGAGAGAAAAACACAAAGGCAAAGCUUGGAAAGAUUUGGUAUAGAAUGCAGCAAUUGCCAGUAAUGAAAUAAUAUUCAAAAACUGUAUGGAAAAAAUUGAGCAAGAAGAUAGAGAGGCAAGAAAAUGGUUCGAUCAUCCAGAUAGACCAUUUCAAAGUUGACUAGAGCCUUGUUCAAAACAAAUACUAGAUGUGAUAUGUUGCUCAACAAUUUGUGUGAAAGCUUCAACAAGUAUAUACUUGAUUCCAGGAAUAAACCAAUCAUUACAAUGCUAAAAAUGACAAAGAAUAAGUUAAUGAAGAGGUCGCACGACAAGAAAAUCUGGAUUGACAAAUAUCAAGACAUGAUUUGUCCUAAAAUUGUCAAAAAAACUUAACAAAAUUAGUAAUGAGGCUAUUAUGUUUAAACCUGACUAUUCAGGGGGACCAAAGGUGUUGGUUAAUGGGCCUGGUGGGCCAUAUAUAUGGUGGAUAUGAUGGCUAAGAGUUGUACUUGUAGGAGAUUUGAGCUAAUUGGGUUACCAUGUCCUCAUGCCUACAUUAGUAUUAUUGAUAACAGUGAAAAAAUGGAAGAUUGUGUGAAUCCAUUCUAUGAUAUUGACACCUUUAAGAAUGUGUAUUCGCAUUACGUCAACCCAACAAAUCAUGAAGAUCAUUGGCCAAAAGUUGUAAAUGGUGGACAAGUUCUUCCUCCUAAUGUUGUGAAGUAGAAGAGGGGGAGGAAGCCCAAAAAUAGGAGGAAAGAACCUGAAGAAUUAGAGAAGCAAAAAGUUGCUGAAGAUGCUAAAAAAAGAGCUCGAAAGAAGCCUGAGAAUAUGAAACCUCAGAAGCUUUCUAAAAAAGGCUUGGUAAAAGGAAGGUGUUCAAUUUUCAAGGAGGAGGAUCAUAAUGCAAGAGGUCAUUAUAAUGUGCUCAAAAAGAUUGUUGACACAUCUUUCAAUCAAUCUCUAGAUUAGUCCUUAGAGCAAGCUGAAAAUGAGAACUUCUGGGAUUAUUCUAAAUUUUAUCAUCCAGAAAUGUGGGUAAAUUCUCAAAUGAAUUUGAACUUAACAAAGCAGUCAACUACAACUCAGGAUUAUGGAAAACUCCAACUUACAUGAGCAAAAUAUAUGACUUCAUGUUCCAUUAGAAGAAAUUCAUACGGAAGGAACUGAACAAAUUGUUUCUGAUAUAGGUGUUGGAAAUUCGAGAGACCCUUACAUCGGUAAGGAGUUUUAAAAAUAAUGAGCAUCUUCGGAUGACUUGGUUCACAAACAAUGGGAAAGAAAAGAUUAUCUUAGCGUGCAUACAGAUUUAGGAAGGCUAUAACUUUAUUGAUCUUCCUAUUCCUGUUAGUUUUGUCCAAGAAGAAGACAUGAAUGAUCUAGCUCGUUUGGCUGAUGAGUAUGGUUCAGGAGAGCUCCGGCUGAUUGUGGGACAGAAUAAUAUUAUUCCCAAUAUUGAGAACUGAAGAGGUUCAGAUGUAAGUAUCUCUGCAAGGCUAUUCGAGAAGCUUAUUAGUGUGCUGAAACAAUUGGGGAUGAUGGAAAAAUAUGCUCCACGAGCUUCUGUAAAACAUGUUCCAUAAGAUGCCAAACAAUCAAAAAGUAAAACUCAAAAGACUGAUUCUGUGACAAUCUACAAAGAAGUAGAAUCAGUAACUCAUUCAUAACAAUAAAAAUAAUUCAGAAUAUGAUCAAUCUGCCCAAAAAGAAUUUAGGUGAAUUAUGUC